CCUACGGGUGGCAGCAGUGGGGAAUAUUGCACAAUGGGGGAAACCCUGAUGCAGCAACGCCGCGUGAAGGAAGACGGCUUUAGGAUUUGUAAACUCCGUUUUUAGUGAAGUAUAAUGACGGUCGCUAAGGAGCAAGUCACUGCUAACUACGUGCCAGAAGCCGCGGUAAUACGUAGGUGGCAAGCGAUGUCCGGAAUUACUGGGUGUAAAGGGAGCGCAGGCGGGUAGCCAAGUCAGCUGUGAAAACUACGGGCUUAACUUGUAGACUGCAGUUGAGACUGGUUUUGUUGAGUGAAGUAGAGGUUGGCGGAAUUCCGAGUGUAGCGGUGAAAUGCGUAGAUAUUAGGAGGAACACCGGUGGCGAAGGCGGCUAACUGGGCUUUAACUGACGCUGAUGCGCGAAAGCGUGGGGAGCGAACAGGAUUAGAUACCCGUGUAGUC
rnacentral:rRNA from 1 species